rnacentral:lncRNA from 1 species
UGGUGGGUCAGCAGGAGUGACACGGCGUUGGAUAAAGUCAUAAAUGUAUUGUGCGCACCCAAACAAGAAGAUGGGUAGGAGUUUCCUACCCAACCUUGUUCUAGCAUAAGGAUGUUCUGGUGUUUGAGUAUACACCAAAUCAGAUUAACAGCCAGCCAAAUGGGCGUUCCAAUGUUUUGAAAGUGGUCACAGAAUGUUCUGGUGUUUGACAAUACACCGAACCGGAUAAGCAGCCAACCAAAUGAGCGUUCAAAGAUUUUGAAGACGUCAUAGGAUGUUCCAGUGUUUGAUAAUACACCGAACUAGAUGAACAGCAAGCCAAAUGGGCAUUCAAAGAUUUUGGAAGGUGUCACAAGAUGUUCUAGUGUUUUACAAUACAGCAAGCUAGAUCACUAGCUAGGUAAUUGCGCUUUCGAACAUAUUGAGAUGCCUCAAAAGGAUUUUCCCACAACUACUAUGAUAAAAGGUCUGCAUGCACAUAUUGGUUCAUAUCUUAUACAACAAAUGAGUUCAGAUCAGAUCGACUAAAACAUUAAUUGAUUUCACUUCCUAGUCCGCGUCACUCUCAAGUGCAAAAUUUUCAUCUUCAUCAUGGUAUUGCUAGAUAGUUUUGUCCUCCUCCUCAUUGUCAGAAUUGAAUCUGUCAACAUCAUAUAGAACCUGCUGGCGAAUUGAACUUGAGCCACUAGAAUGACAGUCCACUCCUCC